rnacentral:lncRNA from 1 species
CUGUAUCUAUUGUUAAUAAAACAGCUUCUUUCUUUUGGUGAAGGGGAGAGGUUAGAUAUGUGGCCUCUGGAUUCCUGAUGAUGGACAAAUAUUCACACAUGCUGUCUACUGCUGGCAAAAUAACCCAGUGAAACUGAACAUCCAAGGUAUGCCAUCAUUUUGAUUGCCUCAUGAAGUGACCCAAGCUUGGAAGGAAGAGGGUUCUUCUGUUAGGCAUUCCAGUGUCUCUUGAGGAGCUAAUUACAGGGAAGCCUGAGAAUCGCUGUCUUUGCCCUUCAGAGUAUGCAGAGGGCCAGUGGUUGAUGGAGUUGUUGGCACCAAAAUGUCUAAUUAUUGUCUAUUUGGAGACAACUGUGAACACAGCCUGUUGAAUGGAGUUAACCAGCCAAG